rnacentral:misc_RNA from 1 species
AAGUCGUAACAAGGUCUCCGUUGGUGAACCAGCGGAGGGAUCAUUACAGAGUUAUUCUAAACUCCAAAACCCUAUGUGAACUUACCACUGUUGCCUUGGCGUGUGCCGCGGGCUACCCUGUAGCGACCUACCCGGGAGCUACCCUGUAGUACGCAUACGGCCCGCCAAAGGACCACUAAACUCUUUGUUUUUACUGUGAAUAUCUGAAUGCUUCAAAACUUAAUAAGUUAAAACUUUCAACAACGGAUCUCUUGGUUCUG